rnacentral:rRNA from 1 species
CCUACGGGUGGCUGCAGUGGGGAAUAUUGCACAAUGGGCGCAAGCCUGAUGCAGCCAUGCCGCGUGUGUGAAGAAGGCCUUCGGGUUGUAAAGCACUUUCAGCGGGGAGGAAGGCGUUAAGGUUAAUAACCUUGUCGAUUGACGUUACCCGCAGAAGAAGCACCGGCUAACUCCGUGCCAGCAGCCGCGGUAAUACGGAGGGUGCAAGCGUUAAUCGGAAUUACUGGGCGUAAAGCGCACGCAGGAGGUCUGUCAAGUCGGAUGUGAAAUCCCCGGGCGCAACCUGGGAACUGCAUUCGAAACUGGCAGGCUAGAGUCUUGUAGAGGGGGGUAGAAUUCCAGGUGUAGCGGUGAAAUGCGUAGAGAUCUGGAGGAAUACCGGUGGCGAAGGCGGCCCCCUGGACAAAGACUGACGCUCAGGUGCGAAAGCGUGGGGAGCAAACAGGAUUAGAUACCCGUGUAGUC